CAGUAGCCACGGUAAAACGUAGGUGGCAAGCGUUGUCCGGAAUUAUUGGGCGUAAAGGGCUCGCAGGCGGUUUCUUAAGUCUGAUGUGAAAGCCCCCGGCUCAACCGGGGAGGGUCAUUGGAAACUGGGAAACUUGAGUACAGAAGAGGAGAGUGGAAUUCCACGUGUAGCGGUGAAAUGCGUAGAGAUGUGGAGGAACACCAGUGGCGAAGGCGACUCUCUGGUCUGUAACUGACGCUGAGGAGCGAAAGCGUGGGGAGCGAACAGGAUUAGAUACCCCAGUAGUCCCUGUCUCUUAUCA
rnacentral:rRNA from 1 species